rnacentral:rRNA from 1 species
UACGUAGGCAGCGAGCGUUGUUCGGAGUUACUGGGCGUAAAGGGUGCGUAGGCGGUCGUUUAAGUUUGGUGUGAAAUCUCCCGGCUCAACUGGGAGGGUGCGCCGAAUACUGAAUGACUAGAGUGCGGGAGAGGAUAGUGGAAUUCCUGGUGUAGCGGUGAAAUGCGUAGAUAUCAGAAGGAACACCCAUGGCGAAGGCAGCUCGCUGGCCUACAACUGACGCUGAGGCGCGAAAGCGUGGGGAGCAAACAGG